AUUGAACGCUGGCGGCAUGCUUUACACAUGCAAGUCGGACGUGUGGCGAACGGGUGAGUAAUAUAUCGGAACGUACCGAGUAAUGGGGGAUAACUAAUCGAAAGAUUAGCUAAUACCGCAUAUUCUUCGAGCGGCCGAUAUCUGAUUAGCUAGUUGGUGGGGUAAAGGCCUACCAAGGCGACGAUAAGUAGCGGGUCUGAGAGGAUGAUCCGCCACACUGGGACUGCGACCCGGAACAGACCCCGACGGCAGGCAGCAGUGGGGAAUUUUGGACAAGGGGCGCAAGCCGGAUGCAGCCAUGCCGCGUGUAUGAAGCAGCCCUUAGGGUUUGAACGUACUUUCCGUCGGGAGGCGUUACCGACAGAAGAAGCACCGGCUAACACCGUGCCAGCAGCCGCGGUAAUAC
rnacentral:rRNA from 1 species